UUCUCUAACUCUGUAUCCCUCUCCUCUCUAUUUCUCUCUCCCUCCCAUCAAACCCAGCAAUGGUUAAGCUUCUUCAGCUCUCCUUGCACCCACACACAGUUGUGCACCAACUGUGUUUCAGCCAUCCACCUCUAUUUCUAAAGGAAAUUUUGAUAUCAAAUUUAUGAAUUGAUUAUUUGAGGAAUCCUCUUGGUAUUGAUUGGAUCCAUCUUGUUGCAUGACUACCGAUUUGCAGUUGAACUCAACUCUCUACCAAUUGAGCCAAAUAUCUGUGAAAUUAGUCUUAAGUGGAGUGCAUAGGAUGGUGCACAUAGUCAAGCCAUUUUUCUAGCUUAGGAUGCUGUUUUUCUAAUUUAGAAUCAUGUUUUGUAAUCUUUGACAUAAGUUGUGGACAAAUGCUCUAAUGGUUGUUUAUAUACCAAUUGGUUUGGUAAUGGUGUACUAGUGUUUUGAGUAUACUUUAUACAUUUGAAUAUAUGGAAUUAGGAUACAUUUCAGGU